rnacentral:lncRNA from 1 species
CGUUGAUUUGGUGACAGGAGGAGACCUCGGUGGCAGCCGGUUGACGGAAUGGCGGGGCGGGGGCGGCGCUGCGGUGGGGGAGGCGAGGCGGCUCUGGCGCGGCGGCGGUGGCCGAGCCAGAGGCAGGGGCGGAGUGGCGCGGCGACUGAGCCAGGGGCAGGGGCGGCGUGGCGCGGCGCGUUGGGGCGGAGGCGGAGGCGGGGGCGGCGCGUUCGGGCCGGCGCUGGGCUGAAAAUUUCGUUAGGAAGAUAUAACACUCAAAAUCACAUUUUGAUGAUUUAAAGCAUUCUCCAAAAGAUUUAAGAUAAAAUGUCAUUUAAUAGUGAUUUUAAUUCUUUAUAAAGUGUAUUCCCUAAAGCAAAUAAAUAGUACUAUUAAAAGUUGUGUAGUUCAAAACUUAGAUUUAAAUCUUGAAACGAAAGUGUAAGUUGAAAUUAAUAAUUAGAAGAAAGAUUUUUUUAUUAUCUCCUAUGUAAACUAUAUCACUCUUGAAAAAGUAUUUUUAAGUAAAAUGAUUCCUAGUAAAGAUUGUAUUUUACUUUCCCUAAAUAAGUGAAAUAAAGGAUACUCAUUUUUAUUAACUUAAAAUUUGAUCACAUACUCAAAAGUAAUAUUUUUCCUAAAAUGAAGUGAAUGUGUGCAUGGCACAUUUUGAGCCUUUAACUAAACAAGGAAAUAAAUAAUUAAUAUAAAUAUAUAUAUGUUUAUAAAAAUAUAUUUUCCAUUCAUGCAUAUAUUUUGGAUGUUGCAUUUAGAAUAGAAUUUGAAACCCAUAUUUGAAUUUGAAGUUAAAAUGUGGAAAUUAAAAUAGAAAAGAAAAAGAAAAGAAAAGUAGUUUUUGGGUCAGAUUUACAUGACCUCGGCCUAACUUGGCGAACUGCGCAAGCCCACUCGCGCACUGGUCGAGGGCCUUUUUGGUGCCGGCAGGUGGGCCCGCCUGUCAGGCCCUCAUCGGGGAAACGUUGCUGCGCGGAGUCGCUGCGGAACGGUCGUCAGCUGCUCUGGCUCAAUUACCCGCUCCGCACCGCACCCGUCUCCGACUGGCCGGUGGACCCACUCGGUGCACCUCCUUUCCCCACCCCAACAACACACGCGGGAUUGUCGCCGCCGUCAUCGAAGAUCGCUAACGGCCGCUCCCCAACCGAAACUCGGGAGAUAAAUUGGUGGUCGGCGACCUCUUUCCCUCUGUUUCCUCUCCUCCUUUCACCGCACACGGUUCUCGAGCCCGACCAAAACGGUUGUGGGGAGCAGAGAACAUGGGUUGGGCGAGGGGUGUCACCAUUGUCGACCUCGGGUGUUAACCAUCCUCGAACCAUCGAUUCGCGUGGAGGGGCGAGUACCGACAUCCGUCUCGCAUUUCCCCGCUAUCAUCCGAGCAUUAAGGGUGACCGUAGGGCAAUAAAUUGCUCACCGGCGUCGUGAAUUCGGCAGAGCACCGCCGUGCGUCGUGGGCAUGAACUCCUGGAGCCUAAUCACCGGUAAGACCUUGCCCCGUGGACUCGCCCCAACCCCCGCUACGCGUAGCACCAUAGGGAUCAGGUUCGUUGUGUAGGUUACGAGAUCCGGGAAUGGUGGCAAUGGCGCCGCCGUGGUUUGCCCAGGCUUUGCCGCUGGCGUGAUCCCGUGAGGAAGAAAGCGCCUGGACCGUCCAUCUAUUGCUCGACGGCUAGAUUUAGACCUAAGUGUACCCUUUCGCUGCGUGUGAUCCAUGCCAUCGAUUCAUCCGCGGGCGGCUACGAUUAGAUCCUGCCAUCAUCGAUUCUGGAUCGUGGGAUCGAAAUGGGCGGAUCAGAUUAGAUGUUCGCGUACCCCUUCAGCUUUCUAAUCUCAGCCCUGAAUUCGGGAUCGGGAGGCUCGGAUGAAAUCUAGCUCUCGGUCGCAGGGAUAUUUGUUAAAGAACCCUUGGAUGUUUCCGAAAAUAACCCGCCAUCCCUGUCUGGUUGAAUACAAUUACGGUUAGAUCCUCGGAUUUUACAAAACAGCCCUUGAUGUUAUAAAAUAUUUCUGGAAAUUGUUUUUGCUGUAAAAAUAAAUCUAGAACCUUAGAAAAUCCAUAUCUCCUUCGUCUUAACUUCUUUUUGAUCCAUUCCAGUUGCAUUAAUCUCAUAUUAAAAUUGUUUAUCAUCUAAUGACAAUAUUUAGUCAUGAAACAUAGAUUAAAAUUAUGCAGUUAGUUUAUUAUAUAUUGAACACCUAAAUUUUCAGAAAAUCAUAACUCUUUAACCGUAAUUCCGAUUUUAGUGUUUCUCGAACCUGCGAUCUUGUUACGACGCGUAGAAUAUUAUUAUGCAGUUUGUGCUUAUGUUUGGUGUGAUGUUAAUUUUGUCUAUAUCAUGUUUGUUUGUAUUGCUACGAAUAGAAGUGAAGUCACGAGAAUCUAAAGAUCAUCUUGGUACCUGGAAUCUCG